rnacentral:lncRNA from 1 species
AGUCAGGGGCGUGCGCCCGCUGGGUCAGCGCCCUCCUUCCUGCCGGGGAAGGGAAGUGCGUCGGUAGGGGAGGGCUCACCUCUCCAGGUUGAAACGAUGGCGGUCAGAACCGCCUGAGCUAAAUGCAAGAUGGUAUGGCAUCCAGACUCUGCUCAUAAGUAUCUGCAGUGAUCCAUACCUUGAUUGUACAUCUACUCUGCAUCCUGAGGACCUGAACAUGCUAACUGGUGGCUGCAGAUUUGUCUUCUAAGGAGCAAGUGUGGUCUGUGGACAGGCAGCUUCAGCCUCACCUGGGAUUUUGUUUGCACUAGAAAGUGCCAAGCCCUACCCUAGACCUAUUAAAGCAGAACUGGCGUUUAACAAGACACCCCAGGUAAUUUGUGUGCACCUUAGAGUCUGAGAUGCACUAGUGUAGUGAUUCGCAGGGGGACAAUUUUGACCUCCAGGGGACAAUAUCUGGAGACAUUUUUGGGUGUCACAACGUGCUGGGGAGAGGGUGCUACUGGCAUCUAAUGGGCUGAGGCCAAGGGUGCUGCUAAACAUCUGGCAAUACCGGGCCAACCUCCCCCCUCCUCCUGCCCACAGUAAAGAAUUACCCCGCCUGGAUUGUCAGUAGUGCAGAGGUAGAGGAAACCCUACACCUGUGAAACUCAUCUGACCUUUACUAUGAAUUCCUGGAUCUCCUGGUGCAUAUCAUUUCUGUUGCCCUGGCUGACAUUUCCACCUUUUCUCUUUUCUAGAUUUUAUUACAAGAACUCAAUCUGUUGGUCUCUAGGAAUCACCUAUUGCCUUGCUAUGUUUUGUUGAACCUGUUUUUGAAUCUGCUUUCUACAUUGGGGAAAUAGGUAUACGUUUGUAAACCUUAAAAGCUCUGUAUGCUAUAAGGAAAUCACCAGACACGUGGAUAAGCUUUGCAGAGGUGAAGGGCUGUCUCCACCAGAGAGACCCAGAAGGAGUCAGGGUAAGCCUGACUCAUCAUGAGAUCAGGUAUCCCCAAUCCACAGCGGACUUCCACAGUUCACCUUCCUAGGUAACCGCUCUGCCUUCCCAGGUAAAGUAGGAAUAAUAUCAGAACUUACAGCAUAUUUUGAGGUCAAAUUGUAGAAUUUGGUGAUUUCAUUUUUAUUAUUACUCAACCUUUUAUUUACAACCAAAUUAAUAAGGCUACUUACACAUAACAAUGUGUGGACAUACACAUUAAGAGAAUCAUUUGCUGCCUAGCACUCCUACCUAGGUACUUUAAGAACAUCAUUGAGUGGAUACUCCCUCUGCUGGGUAAAAUACUUUGCCACAAUAUCAGCUGAAAUGAUACCUCUUCCAGACUGUAAUGGCAGAAGUAGUUAUCCCCUCUUUCGUGCUGUCAUCACACUUGAUGCAUGCCUACUUUAUAAUACUUAUGCCAUUGUCUCUGUUAUUGGGUUUCUGUCUUCUACUGUGAAAGGGUGAGCCCAUAAAAAACAGGGAAUGUGUCUUUCAAAAUGUUGUAUCCUGCUCAUUCUGAUGUGAAGCCAUUGUCCUCCUUCAAUAAAAUAAAACAGCAUUUCUGA